CCCAUCCCAUCCUACCCCACUUCACCCCUACCAGGCCCCUCCAUCCCCCCACCCUGCUUUCCUCAUUUCUACAGGGAACUUACCUGUUUGCCCCCUCUGUGUCUGGGGCCUCACCUCAGUCCUCUUCAGCUCUUGAACUGAACCUACGUCAUUCUCCUGCCUAAAAACUCUGACCUGGGAUCUUCCUUGAAAUGUUUGCUGUCGUUUACUUGGCCUCGACAGGAAUGCUGUCUUCCAACAUAUCUUCAGGACCGUUUUCCCCUCUCACCAAAUUAGCUACAAGAUGGACUUUCUUUGUGAAUGCCCAAUGACCGACUUUUGUGUUUGAGUCAUCUUGCAGUAUCUUCAAUCAGAGGGACAGACUAAAAUCGCCAAGCUGUCAUAAAUUCAGGAUAUAUACAGUUAGAAUUUCAAGCGUUCUUUUGCGUGUGAUUAUACCAUUUGAUUUUGGUGGCGACGCAGUUGAAAAGCCAGCAGAAUCUCUCCUCCCCUGCCUUUGAUGAAGUUGCUGCCACAUGAGGUGUGCCCAUCUGCAGGAAGUGGAGGAAGGACCCCAGCCAGUUAACCAGCAAGCACAUGAUUGACAGCCUCGGACCAAAAGCCUUGAGGAGCGAACCUGGCCAGAGUUCCAUGAGAGAAUCUGGAAAGGGGUUGUUCCCCAAUCAAGCCUUCCAAUUUCAGCCUUGCCAAAGAACCCCCAAGGCAGAGAAUGCAGGGUUCACAGAGCCUGAGACAAGGGACCAAUAAAGUUAAGGUGCCCAUAACACCAGUAGGUGAUUGUUAAUACGUGCUGGCUUCAUUUGACUUCGGAUGGGAGGUAGGAGGAGGGUAGGAAGAGAUCCAUUCUCAAAG
rnacentral:lncRNA from 1 species